rnacentral:tRNA from 1 species
GCUUCCUUAGCACAAUGGUAGUGCGUCCGGCUUGUCAGUAACCCCGAAGUACCAUGUGCUGAAGUUCCCCUCACUAACAUCGUAACAGUUAACCGGAAGGUUGCGGGUUCGACCCCCGUGGGUAGCG